UUUAAGUCACAUCUGAUUUGGCCACCACCUCUCUUGCCUUGUGAGGAGGUGACUACAGAGGCCGUGAUUAGCUGUCCGAGCAACAAUAAUAUUUGUCCUCUUCUCUGUUCUGGGGAAUGAGUGCCAGGGAAACCAGCACUCAUUGCUCAUUAUGUUUACCUUUAAAACAGUCGUUCUUUCCACUGUAGCUAUUAAUGCUUCUUUAUUGUUAUUGGUCACCCAGGACUAGUGCCUCCCAGCUCCCUGGCAGUCCAGAGGAUGGAGCCAGGGAGGGUGAAAGGGAAGGCCAGGGUACAGUCUGAAUGAGCUUUUGGAAGCAGCUGGAAGGCGUUGCCCCAAGAGGGACUCCCAGGCCAGGUGGCCAGAAAAGCCCGAAUCAUGUUGGAGAGGCUGGCAUCCCUAGUCCAGCUCUGUUCUCCCGGACCCCAGGACUAGAACCAGAGAGUAGCACCGAGUCCUCAGCAGUGUGUAACAGAUCCUCACAGUCAUCCACAUGUGCGGGGUUGAUUCGGAUCCUCUCAGUGACCCCAGGAGACAGAAAUUAUCACUUGUCCUUUGGAGCUGCAGAGGGAGCUGCAGACACAAGUCCAAGGAGACACACAGCUCCUUGAGGGCAGGGAGGACUGAAGCUACUUCCUGGGAUUGUCACCACAGCCUAGCACCCCACACAGUAGAUGCUCAAUAAAUUAUUGUUGUAUGGGCAAGUGGAUGAACAAAUGAGUGCUUUGGAGUUUCCCUGCCUAGAGACCUUCAAAGAAGUGCAGACAACCAUCUCUUCUGUCUAAUCCAAAGACAUGAUUGGCCUGCCCAAAGGCUGAGCACUGUGCCUGAUGCCUUCUCAAGUUAACUAGGCUUCUGUAAUUAGGUUAUACCAUGAUACAAGUUCCAGGUUCUUCUCUUUCAUUGGCCAAGCAUUUACUGACUACCUGCCAUGUCCAAGGUACUGAGCUAUUGUUCUCUAAAACUGUGAUCCUGUUCUAUUAUUUAAUUCUCUGACUCCAUGUUGACAUAAGAUGCAACACUGUCCCCACCGCAUUCACUCCUAGGUGAGGUCAGUCAAAGUAGACAGGAAAGAAGCAGUAUUGUCUAACCUGAAUGAUAGGCUGGCACAAUGGGUUCCCCUGUGUCAAUACUCCAUACCCUUCAGUACCACUCAAUCUCCUUCCCAGCUAAUAAGCACCCUGUGUUUGGGUAUCAAUGCCUGCUGCCUAUCAAUAGGUAUUAAAAUCCCCAAUUACCUCAUGCCUCCCCCUUCUCUCUCCCACUCACCCACCUGUUGUGUCAAACCGGAAAGAACUGAUUUGGAGCCAAGUCCUGGAUCAUCUUCACUUUGGCACUUGAGUGAUGUCUUUUUUUUUUUUUUUAAGAUUUUAUUUAUUUAUUCAUGAGAGGCAGAGAGAGAAGCAGGUUCCAUGCAGGGAGCCCGAUGUGGGACUUGAUUCUGGGUCUCCAGGAUCACGCCCUGGGCUGAAGUUGGCGCUAAACUGCUGAGCCACCCGGGCUGUCCUUGGGUGACAUCUUAAACAGAUGAGUUACCUCUCUCAGAGUAGUUUCCUCAUCUGUGAAGUGGGGCUAAUAACUUGCUUUCUUGAACACCUUCAGAGCCAAGUACGAGGAUAAGAAGUAAGACCUAUAAACACAGACAAGGCACCAUCUCUGCCCUCCAGAACCUCAUACUUUACAAGAGGAGAAACAUGGAAACCACAAUAAUGUGGAAAUUAAAUAAGACGGAACCCUAGGUCCUUGCCUGGGCCACACUAAGGACUCAGUUCCUUUGCCUCACUUUCUCUCUCCUUUAAGAAUGCUUUUCUCUUUCUUUUCACAACGAACUUCAUCUCACUGGCUUGGGGGGUUGCUAGGGGUCCAUUUGAGGGGUCCAGACUUCUUCCCUUCCUUCCCAUACCUCCCCGCCCGAGCACACCCAGGCAUGUGUGUGAGCCUCCUUAUCACUGGGCACAACUCUAUCAGAGGAAAAAGACUUUCGAUAUGAGCUCCCAAGCUUGGCUUCCCUGAUUUCCCCCCAACUCACUUGUCCAACAAUAUCCCCCUCCUUUCCAGGUUAUAAAGCCCUUCACUCUAAUCAUUAGUCUAUUUCUGUUGCCCAAACUUGCUAUUUAUUAAUGAAUUCAGCCACUCAUAAAACAUGUAUGCAAUGGUUAGUUUUAUCUGUCAACUUGACUGGGCAAAGGGAUGCCCAGGUAGCUGGUAAAACAUUAUUUUGGAGUGCAUCUGUGAGGUGCAUCAGCGAGGCGGUUUCUUGGAAGAGAGUAGCAUUUGAAUGGUGAACUGAGGGAAGAAGCUUGCUGACACUGGUGGGGUGCGGGUAGGCAUCAUCCAACCUGUGAGGGCUGAAUUAAUUGAACAGAUAAGAAGAAGGAUGAACUUGCUCUGUUUGAGCUGGGACAUCCAUGUUCUCCUGUCCUCGGACAUCAUCAACACUCCUGGUUUGCUGGCCUUUUGACUGGGACUGGUACCUGCACCAACUGUUCCCCUGGUUGUCAGGCCUUUGGGAUUAUUCCACUGCUUUCCUGGGUCUCCAGCUUGUAGAUGGCAGACUGUGGGGAUUCUCAGCCUGCACAGUCUCAAGAGCCAGUUCCUGUAAUAAACCUCCAGGUAUAUUCCAUUGGUUCUGUUUCUCUGAAGAACCCUCAUAUAACCACUGUAUUCGGUGUCAGGGUUACACAGACGAAUAAAGGGAUGGGAAGCUAUAGGGAUUAAAAUCAGAGACAUUGCUGUAGGAUAGAUCUGAGUUCAAAUCCCAAUUUUGCCAUUUGUUUCUCCUUGUAUGCGCCUCACUGUACCUGUCUGGAUCCAAAACGGUGAUAAGGGGACGCCUGGGUGGCUCAGGGCAUGAUCCCGGGCCCGGAUGGAGUCCCACAUUGAGAUCGCUGCACGGAGCCUGCUUCUCCCUCAGCCUGUGUCUCUUCUCUGCCUCUCUGUGCCCCUCAUGAAUAAAUGAAUAAGAUCUUAAAAAAAAAAAAAAAGAUCGUGGCUGAAUGAAUAAAUUUCGUGAACCAGGCCCCUUUGAGGCCUAUUGAAUUCUACUAGGCCCACCCCUACAACUCUCUUACUUUCCAGGAUUAUUUCUAAAUUCUAAAACUAGGUUUGGUUUCGUUUUGUAUUGUGUUCAAACUGGUCGCCUACAGGUUUUGAUGGGAGUUGCCACAUAAACAAAUGGGUCCUAAGUGGUGAAUGUUAAGGUCAGGCACAUUCAAUUGCUUUUAACCCUUCUCAGCCCCACCCUGGUAAGCCAUUUGCUCCACAUUAGGUCAGGGUAAUCUUUUAGCUCUUGCCUUUUGAACUUUCCUGCUCAAAUACUCCCUUAAAGAAUGGUUUUAAAUUAUGUAUUUAUUUUUUUAAAAGAUUUUAUUUAUUUAUGUAUGAGAGACACAGAGAGGCAGAGACAGGCAGAGGGAGAAGCAGGCUCCAUGGAGGGAGCCUGACGUGGGACUCCAUCCUGCGUCUCCAAGAUCACACUCUGGGCUGAAAGCGGCACUAAACCACUGAGCCACCCAUGCUGCCCUGAAUUAUGUAUUUUUAAGUCAAUGGCUAAAAUUUUUAAUUAUAAGUUAAAAUAUUGCAAAGGGUAUGCUUUCCAGGAAAUUGUACAUACUUACCUGUUAAAAGCCACAUCGGUCUUUCAAAUAUAGCAGAUGGAACAUAGCAUAAUAUUUUUGUACCCACAACACCCUUUUAAUAAGUGAGCAAGCCCUAUAGCCAGUCCACAAAUUUAGCUUGUAUUUCUUUUUAGUUUUUUCCAUUCCACUCUCCCUACAGUUCUAUCCUAAUGAAAUAUAUUUCCGUUGUGUCACUUUCUUUUUGUAUUUUAUUGUAUUUUGGGGAAGUCCUUUUGUAUAUCUCCGAAACAAAAGUAUGUAUAUAAACUGAAAUGUAUUUCCUGUGACUAGAAGACCCGAAGUGUUGAAAACAGUUAUUCGGCAGCGGGUUUAUAACUACAAUUAUUACAGGACACAAGUUGUCAAAACUACAAAUAUUGACAGUGAUUAAACAGAAAAGCAAGUUUGUUUUUUUUUUAAAGAUUUUUAUUUAUUUAUUCAUGGGAGACACAGGCUCCAUGCACGGAACUGGAUGUGGGACUCGAUCCAGGAAUUUCGGAUCACACCCUGAGCCACGCAGGUGUCCUGAAAAGCAAGUUUUUAUUUAAGAUGCCUCCCUUGGAGGGCCUGCCUUUGCCCCAGGGCGUGAUCCUGCAUCAGGCGCCCCGCCCCGCAAGGAGUCUGCUUCUCCCUCUGCCUGUGUCUCUCCAGAAAUAAAAUCUCAAAAAAAAAAAAAAAAAAAGAUGCAUCUCUUAAUGAGAUGGGGGAAAGGGCUGAUUUCUGUUUCCCCCUGACUCUUGUUUGGCAACUCCAGGAAGGGCACUCGGGUCCUGUUUAGGGUGAAAAAGAGAGCCCAGCCUCUCUGUCAAGAGGGAGUAGAGUGGUUAGUUAAUGGAGGCAGGUAGAAGACAGUACGGUCCUCAGGCAGAUGCAUUUUAGGAAGGGGAUACAUAUACUUCUGGAAAUUGAUCCCCUUAGAACUUAGUCUUGCCCACAUGCCCUUGGGGAAAAGUUUUCUUUUUUUUCUAAAAGAUCUUAUUUAUUCACGAGAGAGACACACACAGAGAGAGAGAGAGAGAGAGGCAGAGACAGAAGCAGGCUCCAUGCCGGAAGCCCGACGUGGGACUCCAGGAUCACACCCUGGGCCAAAGGCAGGCGCUAAACCGCUGAGCCACCCGGGGAUCCCCGCAAAAAAGUUUUCAUGUUCAGUGCAAAUCAAAAGCUAUUUAAAAGAGACUUAAGGGCAGCCCCGGUGGCACAGGGGUUUAGCGCCGGCUGCAGCCCAGGGCGUGAUCCUGGAGACCCGGAUCGAGUCCCACGUCGGGCUCCCUGCAUGGAGCCUGCUUCUCCCUCUGCCUGUGUCUCUGCCUCUCUGUCUCUCUGUGUCUCUAUGAAUAAAUAAAUAAAAUCUUAAAAAAAAAUAAAAGAGACUUAAUAUGGUUUCUCAUUCUCCAAAAUAGGAGUUCCAGAAUGGGAGAAAUGUGGGUCUGAAUGUCCUUGUAACUCUGAUGUUACAUUUCCAACUUCCUCCUGCUGAGCUCCACGUCCUUACGCAUAUGGGCAAGAUGGGAA